GGUCCUGUAGCUCAGUGCUUAGAGCGAUGGUCUUAUGACCCAUAGGCCGUGGGUUCGACCCCCGCCGGGACUA
rnacentral:tRNA from 1 species